AUUAGCAAACAAAAUGGCUCUGUAUAUUUUUACAAGUUUGCAUAUGGGAAAGCCUUGAGCUAUAAAUGCCAAAGAAAUGAACUGGUCAACCAAACAUUCCUUCACAGCCUGAUGUCUUGAAACAAUACAAUAAUCCACACCACCUUCAGGGAGGACUUUAUGGGAGGCUUGCUAGUAGCUGAUUAUAAAUGACUAGGAGGUCUAAAGGAAUUGGGCAAAACAAAAACACUACCACGUUAUAGAAUUGAAAGAAAGGACGUGUGUCCAAACCCCAACCUCUCUGCCUCAGACCUCCCAAUGCAUGAAGGUAUAGAGACACACUAUAAGGAUGGUAAGAUGAAUACACCUUUGGUCCACCAUCUCUGACACUGAGAAUUUGGAUUAUAAAAUGCUACUCUUAGCAUGUAUCUUUAGUUUGAAUGUAUUUACAAUGUAUAAUGCACAAUGCCACAACUCUAGUCCUCAUUUUUACACGUUACCAUAAAAUGCCAUUAGACAGAGCUUAGGGCACAUCUAGAGGGCAGGUUAGCUUAGUCUACCUAUUCCCUUAAAAAGGCUCUGGAUUCAGCACUUGCAUGCCAAAUCUAGGUCUAUUGUCCAGAUAGCCUUGACCACAUCUGCCCUGCUUGGAUUGUCACCUCCUUUGUGUCAUAGAAUCAUAGAAUCAUAGAAUAGUAGAGUUGGAAGAGACCACAUGGGCCAUCCAGUCCAACCCCCUGCAAAGAAGCAGGAAAUCGCAUUCAAAGCACCCCCGAGAGAUGGCCAUCCAGCCUCUGCUUAAAAGCCUCCAAAGAAGGAGCCUCCACCACGGCCCGGGGGAGAGAGUUCCACUGUCGAACAGCUCUCACAGUGAGGAAGUUCUUCCUGAUGUUCAGGUGGAAUCUCCUUUCCUGUAGUUUGAAGCCAUUGUUCCGCGUUCUAGUCUGCAGGGCAGCAGAAAACAAGCUUGCUCCCUCCUCCCUAUGACUUCCCUUCACGUAUUUGUACAUGGCUAUCAUGUCUCCUCUCAGCCUUCUCUUCUGCAGGCUAAACAUGCCCAGUUCUUUGAGCCUCUCCUCAUAGGGCUUGUUCUCCAGACCCUUGAUAAUUUUAGUCGCCCUCCUCUGGAUGCUUUCCAGCUUGUCAACAUCUCCCUUCAACUGUGGUGCCCAAAAUUGGACACAGUAUUCCAGGUGUGGUCUGACCAAGGCAGAAUAGAGGGGGAGCAUAACUUCCCUGGAUCUAGACGCUAUACCCCUAUUGAUGCAGGCCAGAAUCCCGUUGGCUUUCUUAGCAGCUGCAUCACAUUGUAGGCUCAUGUUUAACUUGUUGUCCACAAGGACUCCAAGGUCUUUUUCGCACACACUGCUGUCAAGCCAGGCGUCCCCCAUUCUGUAUCUUUGCAUUCCAUUUUUUCUGCCGAAGUGAAGUAUCUCGCAUUUGUCCCUGUUGAACUUCAUAUUGUUAGUUUCGGCCCAUCUCUCUAGUCUGUCAAGAUCAUUUUGAAUUCUGCUCCUUUCUUCUGGAGUGUUAGCUAUCCCUCCCAGUUUGGUGUCAUCUGCAAACUUGAUGAUUGUGCCUUCUAACCCUUCGUCUAAGUCGUUAAUAAAGAUGUUGAACAGAACCGGGCCCAGGACGGAGCCCUGCGGCACUCCACUUGUCACUUCUUUCCAUGAUGAAGACGAUGCAUUGGUUAGCACCCUUUGGGUUCGUUCGCUUAGCCAAUUACAGAUCCACCUAACCGUAGUUUUGUCUAGCCCACAUUUUACUAGUUUGUUUGCCAGAAGGUCGUGGGGGACUUUGUCGAAGGCCUUACUGAAAUCCAGGUAGGCUACAUCCACGGCAUUCCCUGUAUCGACCCAACUUGUAACUCUAUCGAAAAAAGAGAUCAGAUUAGUCUGGCAUGACUUGUUUUUGGUAAAUCCGUGUUGACUAUUAGCAAUGACCGCAUUUGUUUCUAAGUGUUCGCAGACCACUUCCUUAAUGAUCUUUUCCAGAAUCUUGCCUGGUAUCGAUGUGAGGCUGACCGGACAGUAAUUGUUUGGGUCAUCCUUUUUUCCCUUUUUGAAGAUAGGGACCACAUUCGCCCUCCUCCAAUCUGCUGGGACUUCUCCCGUUCUCCAAGAACUCUCGAAGAUAAUUGCCAGUGGUUCUGAAAUAACUUCCGCUAGUUCCUUCAGUACUCUUGGAUGUAGUUGAUCUGGCCCUGGUGACUUGAAUUCGUUUAGAGCGGCCAGGUGUUCCUGGACAACUUGUUUGCCUAUUUGGGGUUGGAUUUCCCCCAAUCCUUCGUCCAUUCCAUGUUGCUAAGGUUGAAGAUGGCUUUCUUUUUCUGAGAAGACCGAGGCAAAGAAGGUGUUAAACAGUUCUGCCUUUUCCCUAUCCCCUGUCGCCAUCACCCCAUCUUCUCCUUGCAGUGGCCCUAUCGCCUCCUUUUUCUUCCUUUUUCUACCAACGUAAGCAAAAAAGCCUUUUUUGUUGUUUUUUAUGUCCCUGGCAAGCCUGAGCUCAUUUUGCGCUUUAGCCUUGCGAACCUUUUCCCUACAGGUGUUGGCUAUACGUUUGAAUUCUUCUUUGGUGAUUUCUCCCCUUUUCCACUUCUUGUGCAUGUCACUUUUGAGUUUUAGCUCAGUUAGAAGUUCUUUGGACAUCCAUUCUGGCUUCUUUGCACUUGUCUUAUUUUUCUUCUUUGUUGGCACUGUUUGCAUUUGCGCCUUGAGUAUUUCACUUUUGAAAAACUCCCAUC